CGGGGUGUAGCGCAGUUGGUAGCGCGCCUGCUUUGGGAGCAGGAUGCCGGGGGUUCGAAUCCCUUCACUCCGA
rnacentral:tRNA from 1 species